AUUGAACGCUGGCGGCAUGCCUAACACAUGCAAGUCGAACGAGUGGCGGACGGGUGAGUAAUUUAUGGGAAACUGCCUACUCUAGGGGGAUAACUACUGGAACCGGUGGAUAAUACCGCCUACCAUCGGAUGUGCCCAUGUGGGAGUAUCUAGUAGGUGGGGUAAAGGCUCACCUAGGCGACGCUCCCUAGCUGGUCUGAGAGGCUGACCAGCAACACUGGGACGGAGACACGGCCCAGACUCCUACGGGAGGCAGCAGUGGGGAAUAUGUCACAAUGGGCGCAAGCCUGAGGCAGCCAUGCCGCGUGUAUGAAGAAGGCCUUCGGGUUGUAAAGUACUUUCAGCGGGGAGGCGUUACCCGCAGAAGAAGCACCGGCUAACUACGUGCCAGCAGCCGCGGUAAUUC
rnacentral:rRNA from 1 species